rnacentral:rRNA from 1 species
CUACGGGUGGCAGCAGUGGGGAAUCUUGCGCAAUGGGCGAAAGCCUGACGCAGCAACGCCGCGUGCGGGAAGAAGGCUUUCGGGCUGUAAACCGCUUUCAGUAGGAACGAAACUGAAGGUACCUACAGAAGAAGGAGCGGCCAACUAUGUGCCAGCAGCCGCGGUGACACAUAGGCUCCAAGCGUUGUCCGGAUUUAUUGGGCGUAAAGAGCUCGUAGGCGGUCGAGUAAGUCGGGUGUGAAAACUCUGGGCUUAACCCAGAGAUGCCACUCGAUACUGCUGUGACUUGAGUUCGGUAGGGGAGCGGGGAAUUCCUUGUGUAGCGGUGACAUGCGCAGAUAUGAGGAGGAACACCGGUGGCGAAGGCGCCGCUCUGGGCCGUAACUGACGCUGAGGAGCGAAAGCGUGGGUAGCAAACAGGAUUAGAUACCCUGGUAGUC